CCCACCCUCAUCCCGGCACGUGAUGACGUAGGACGUAAGGACGCCCCCCCCCGCCGGUAGCCAUCUUCGUGCAUAGGCAAACUUAUUGUAGCUAGACUGUACAAAGUAUAUCAAGAUAUGCCAAAUAUUGAGCUUAACUUCACCUGUUUGAGAGACGCUUGCAACACCAUGAAAAAAUUACUGAGACACUAGGAAUGCUGUGAACUGAGAAAGUUUGGGACCUUUGGCAUAACUAAAUCCUUCAUUUAACAGAUGGAGUCUCAGUCUGUCACUAAGGCUGGAGUGCAGUGGCGCGAUCUCGGCUCACUGCAACCUCCACCUCCCGGGUUCACGCGAUUCUCCAGCCUCAGCCUUCCACGUAGCUGGGACUACAGGUGCAUGCCACCACACCCAGUGUUGUGAACCACUUGUCAUGGGAUAACCAAAAUUAAACCUGGAAUCGCAGAAGAAACAAAUUUUUUGAAGAAAUUGGAUGUACUUUUUUAAAAUUUUUCAUUCAACUAAAACUUUGUUAACUGUUUCUUGGUUGUGGUCUUCUCUAAAUUGUAAUCUUUGGCAUUCACUUCCAAAGUAUCCACCACUAAACUUCAUAACAUUUAUUGUGUCUCUUCAUCAUUAAACUUUGAUGAAUUUACAGAGUGUCUUUUGAAAUUAUGUUCUUGAGAAAGGUGCACAUCAUGGAGACAAUCUGACUGGUACAGAGAAAUGAAGAGACAACAUUUUCUUUCCAAAUCUGAGUGGAGAUGAUAGAAGAGGCCCUGGUUAGCAGCUUCAGAUGAUGGAUACAUAAAAAUGGGAGAGAGAAAACAUAUAAGAGUGACUAAUUGUUGAGUUUCCAGGGCUCAAACCAAUCUUGAAUUGGAAUUUCAAGACAUAAAAACCACUGCAGGAACCUGCUGGAGAAACGGCCUCUGGUAUCUCUAUCUGAAAUAUGAUUAUCUUAAGUUCGCAAAGCAUUGUGUCUGCAGUGUGAGUUUGAAAACAACAAUGUUAAGGCAACUUCGCAGCUUCUUAAUCAAGCCCUUCUCCAUCUCUCCGUGUGGUUUUUGGGGUGGUGGAGGUGGAGCCAAAAAAGAGAGGGCAGUUUCCCAGGGCUGAAGAUGCUACCAUGACUCAUAGGAUCUAUGCAAACCCUGUGAGUGAAUUCUGAGGAAGAAGAAUGAGUAAUAUUUUGAUUUUAUUACUGAUGGUAAUAAGAUAGUAUCAUCAGUGUGGUAUAUUCUGAUUACUGAAUUCUAUUCCCUAUUUUCUUCCUGUGGCCAAAUAAAAUUUGUGUGUGUAAGCUAUGAUAUUUAGUGUUGUUAUCUGAUGAGACAGGUUUAGUGGAAAAGUUCAUUUUAAAUAAACAUUAAAAUUGUUUCAGCCUCAGAUUUUUAAUCCAAAUCAUUCCUUUGACACCAGAAGAAUUUUCCUCAGAGUCAACUCCAAAGAUAAAGCUGCCUGUUUUCCUAUUUGCCCAGAAGUAAAGAGGUUGCAAAA
rnacentral:lncRNA from 1 species